rnacentral:rRNA from 1 species
AUGAGAGUCGAUAACACCCGAAGCCUCGUGAGCUAACCGCAAGGGGGCAGCAGUCGAAGGUGGGGUUGAUGAUUGGGUGAAGUCGUAACAAGGUAUC